rnacentral:rRNA from 1 species
UACGGAGGGUGCAAGCGUUAUCCGGAUUUACUGGGUUUAAAGGGUGCGUAGGUGGGUAGGUAAGUCAGUGGUGAAAUCUUCGAGCUUAACUCGGAAACUGCCAUUGAUACUAUUUAUCUUGAAUACUCUGGAGGUAAGCGGAAUAUGUCAUGUAGCGGUGAGAUGCUUAGAUAUGACAUAGAACACCAAUUGCGAAGGCAGCUUACUACAUAGUUAUUGACACUGAGGCACGAAAGCGUGGGGAUCAAACAGG